ACCAAGAGGAAAGCAGCAGGCGGGAUGGCGGAACUAGGCCGAGUGCCCUCCCCUUCGCUCAAACCGGAAGCUCGAGCGGUGGCACGGAGGACUCCAUUCUAUUCAGUUGUUCCAAGAUCCCCAAAAUCCCCCAUCCAACUAUAGAGAGGAGGGGUGGGAGAGCGGCUGAUGUCUCGCGCGGAGGACCGGCGACCUUCAACCUGCAGAGAAGAAAUCGCCCACUCCCUGGAGCAACAGGAGGACGAGGUCCCCUGCCCAAGGCCACCCGUGUAGUUGUUCCACUAAGAAGGCCAGGAGUUCCUUGCCGUCGGCCAAGAUGCCUGCUCUCCUGCCACUGCCUCCACUCAGAGAAGCCCAGCAGUGAAGUCACGGGACUUAUCUGUGGCAGCCUGCAUCUUUCUUUGUUCGGAUGGAUCCGUAUAGGAAUGCAUCAUAAGAAGCGACCAAUUUUUUUCUGUACUUGUAUAUAUGUGUUGUGGUGUAAGUGUAGAUACGGGGCAUGACUCUGAGGAUCUGUGGUUUGAACCUGGGUUUUGGUAGUGCUGAUUCUCAAAAAGCUUCUAUGGAUGGUGUGCAUAUGCCUUAGUUUUAUUUUGUAAUACAUAUACCUGGAAUAGCGAAGAUAUGCUCUAGCUGGUACGUGUUUAACCAACAAAGGUUGUAAUGAAUUGAGACAAGAGAAUUCGGUUUUUACCUAACAUAAGACAAUAAUUUUACUACUUA